rnacentral:rRNA from 1 species
GCUGUGAGCUCGAUGAGUAGGGCGGGACACGUGGUAUCCUGUCUGAAUAUGGGGGGACCAUCCUCCAAGGCUAAAUACUCCUGACUGACCGAUAGUGAACCAGUACCGUGAGGGAAAGGCGAAAAGAACCCCGGCGAGGGGAGUGAAAAAGAACCUGAAACCGUGUACGUACAAGCAGUGGGAGCACAGGUUUACCUGUGUGACUGCGUACCUUUUGUAUAAUGGGUCAGCGACUUAUAUUCUGUAGCAAGGUUAACCGAAUAGGGGAGCCGGAGGGAAACCGAGUCUUAAUUGGGCGUUAAGUUGCAGGGUAUAGACCCGAAACCCGGUGAUCUAGCCAUGGGCAGGUUGAAGGUUGGGUAACACUAACUGGAGGACCGAACCGACUAAUGUUGAAAAAUUAGCGGAUGACCUGUGGCUGGGGGUGAAAGGCCAAUCAAACCGGGAGAUAGCUGGUUCUCCCCGAAAGCUAUUUAGGUAGCGCCUCGUGAA